UGGGGAAUUUUGGACAAUGGGCGAAAGCCUGAUCCAGCAAUGCCGCGUGUGUGAAGAAGGCCUUCGGGUUGUAAAGCACUUUUGUCCGGAAAGAAAUCCUUGGCUCUAAUACAGUCGGGGGAUGACGGUACCGGAAGAAUAAGCACCGGCUAACUACGUGCCAGCAGCCGCGGUAAUACGUAGGGUGCAAGCGUUAAUCGGAAUUACUGGGCGUAAAGCGUGCGCAGGCGGUUUGCUAAGACCGAUGUGAAAUCCCCGGGCUCAACCUGGGAACUGCAUUGGUGACUGGCAGGCUAGAGUAUGGCAGAGGGGGGUAGAAUUCCACGUGUAGCAGUGAAAUGCGUAGAGAUGUGGAGGAAUACCGAUGGCGAAGGCAGCCCCCUGGGCCAAUACUGACGCUCAUGCACGAAAGCGUGGGGAGCAAACAGGAUUAGGAUACCCUGGUAGUCCACGCCCUAAACGAUGUCAACUAGUUGUUGGGGAUUCAUUUCCUUAGUAACGUAGCUAACGCGUGAAGUUGACCGCCUGGGGAGUACGGUCGCAAGAUUAAAACUCAAAGGAAUUGACGGGGUCAUAGCUGUUUCCU
rnacentral:rRNA from 1 species